GAUUUGACCUAGUCACGUCAUUACAUACAGAGUUAUUUAACGAGGUCCACUGUUCUUCCCCAGUACCUAUAAGGAUGCCUUUAGGCCUGAGGAUCUCACCCUCUGGCACCAUAAUGAUAUCAGAUAAAGAUUUGUCCAUGCAGUUUUCUUGGCAUAAUACAGAAGUGGUUUGCCAUUGCCUUCUUCUGGGAUGUUUAUCGACGUCCUCGUCUAGAUCCGCACUGUUCUGUGGAAACGAGGGUACCUCGAGAAGGAUGUGGCUCUUCGCCACGCAAUGCGGUCUUGGUAAAGGAGUGGCUAGG
rnacentral:lncRNA from 1 species